UACGGGGGGGGGCUAGCGUUGUUCGGAAUACUGGGCGUAAAGCGUGCGCAGGCGGUGAUGUAAGACAGGUGUGAAAUCCCCGGGCUUAACCUGGGAACUGCAUUUGUGACUGCAUCGCUGGAGUGCGGCAGAGGGGGAUGGAAUUCCGCGUGUAGCAGUGAAAUGCGUAGAUAUGCGGAGGAACACCGAUGGCGAAGGCAAUCCCCUGGGCCUGCACUGACGCUCAUGCACGAAAGCGUGGGGGAGCAAACAGGG
rnacentral:rRNA from 1 species